rnacentral:ncRNA from 2 species
AGUAAUGAGCGCCAGUGGGAAGCCCUGACUAGCUGGCCGGCAACCCUCCGUUCGGCGGGGUGCCUCAGGUGAGUACUCGGCGUUCGUUGAUCGAGAGCAAAGCCCGAAG